GUGAGGAAUAUUGCGCAAUGGAGGCAACUCUGACGCAGCCAUGCCGCGUGCAGGAAGAAGGCGCUACGCGUUGUAAACUGCUUUUAACCGGGAAGAAACCCCAGGACGUGUCCUGGGUUGACGGUACCGGAGGAAUAAGCACCGGCUAACUUCGUGCCAGCAGCCGCGGUAAUACGAAGGGUGCAAGCGUUAUCCGGAUACAUUGGGUUUAAAGGGUGCGUAGGCGGAGCGUUAAGUCAGUGGUGAAAUCCUGCAGCUUAACUGUAGACUUGACAUUGGUACUGGCGCUCUUGAGUGCGCUUGAAGUGGGCGGAAUGUGCCGUGUAGCGGUGAAAUGCUUAGAUAUGGCACAGAACACCAAUUGCGAAGGCAGCUCACUAAGGCGAUACUGACGCUGAGGCACGAAAGCGUGGGGAUCGAACAGGAUUAGAUACCCCUGUAGUCC
rnacentral:rRNA from 1 species